AGGGAUCAUUACUGAGUUGCAAACUCCCAAACCCAUGUGAACUUAUACCUAUACGUUGCUUCGGCGGACCCGCCCCGGCGCUCACGCGACCGGACCCAGGCGACCGUCGGGGGAAAACCAAAACCACUGUUACCCAAGGUGAAACAUCUGAGCACCAAAACAAAUGAAUCAAAACUUUCAACAACGGAUCUCUUGGCUCUGGCAUCGAUGAAGAACGCAGCGAAAUGCGAUAAGUAAUGUGAAUUGCAGAAUUCAGUGAAUCAUCGAAUCUUUGAACGCACAUUGCGCCCGCCAGUAUUCUGGCGGGCAUGCCUGUCCGAGCGUCAUUUCAACCCCUCGAGCCCCCGGGCCCGGUGUUGGGGAUCGACCUGCAGCCCACCCCAGCGGUGGCUGGUCGUCCCUGAAAUACAGUGGCGGUCGCGUCGCGGACCCUCUGCGUAGUAGCAACACCUCGCACUGGAGAGCGGCGCGCCCACGCCCAACCACCAAACUUUUCAAGGUUGACCUCGGAUCAGGUAGGAAUACCCGCUGAACUUAAGCAUAUCAAUA
rnacentral:rRNA from 1 species